rnacentral:rRNA from 1 species
CGAUGAGCAGGAGGAAGGUGGGGAUGACGUCAAGUCAUCAUNCCCCUUAUACGGGUGGGCUACACACGUGCUACAAUGGGCGGUACAGAGACUCGCGAACCUGUGAGGGGAAGCUAAUCUCAGAAAACCGUUCUUAGUUCGGAUUGUACUCUGCAACUCGAGUACAUGAAGUUGGAAUCGCUAGUAAUCGCAAAUCAGCUAUGUUGCGGUGAAUACGUUCUCGGGUCUUGUACACACCGCCCGUCACACCAGCGAGAGUUGGUUGCACCUCAACUAGCAGGCCUAACCGNCAAGGAGGGAUGUUCCUAAGGUGUGAUUAGCGAGUUGGGGU